rnacentral:lncRNA from 11 species
CUGCUGGCGGUGAAGCUUCUGACCAAGCUCAGAUAGAGGCCACAAUUAUAAGUCAAUAAAACAGAGAUGCAAUAAAAUGUGCAAGAUGUACUAUUAUAAAUGUGUUAGGAUUUAUACUACCAAACAAAUGUUCUCCUCUUCGAAGCACGUGUGAAAUAAUUGCCAAUAAGGCUGUCUGCUUCACCAAGACGGAGGGUUAUAUAGGUAAAUUAAGUCUUAUUUAUUAUUUAUUUAUUUCCAGCAUUUAUACCCUGCC